AUUGAACGCUGGCGGCAGGCCUAACACAUGCAAGUCGAGCGAGCGGCGGACGGGGGCGUACGGUAUGGGGAUCCGCCCGUUAGAGGGGGAUCACUACGGGAAACGAUAGCUAAUCCCGCAUACAAUCGGCUGACCCCUUUGGGGAUUAGCUAGUAGGUGAGGUAAUGGCUCACCUAGGGGACGAUCCCUAGCUGUGCUGAGAGGAUGAUCAGCCACACUGGGACUGAGACACGGCCCAGACUCCUACGGGAGGCAGCAGUAGGGAAUAUUGCGCAAUGGGCGAAAGCCUGAUGCAGCCAUGCCGCGUGUAUGAAGAAGGCCUUAGGGUUGUAAAGUACUGUCAGUCGAGAAGCGUUACCGACAGAGAAAGCACCGGCUAACUCCGUGCCAGCAGCCGCGGUAAUAC
rnacentral:rRNA from 1 species